UGGGGAAUAUUGGGCAAUGGGCGCAAGCCUGACCCAGCAACGCCGCGUGAGGGAAGAAGGCCUUCGGGUUGUAAACCUCUGUCCUUGGGGAAGAAAAAAAUGACGGUACCCAAGGAGGAAGCUCCGGCUAACUACGUGCCAGCAGCCGCGGUAAUACGUAGGGAGCGAGCGUUGUCCGGAAUUACUGGGCGUAAAGGGUGCGUAGGCGGUAGGCCAAGUCAGAUGUGAAAUCCCCGGGCUUAACUCGGGUGGUGCAUUUGAAACUGGUUUACUUGAGUGUAGGAGAGGAGAGCGGAAUUCCUAGUGUAGCGGUGAAAUGCGUAGAUAUCGGGAGGAACACCAGUGGCGAAGGCGGGUAACUGGACUGCAACUGACGCUGAGGCGCGAAAGUGUGGGGAGCAAACAGG
rnacentral:rRNA from 2 species